GUACACUCCUGCGGGAGGCAGCAGUGGGGAAUUUUGGACAAUGGGCGAAAGCCUGAUCCAGCAAUGCCGCGUGUGUGAAGAAGGCCUUCGGGUUGUAAAGCACUUUUGUCCGGAAAGAAAUCCUUGGCUCUAAUACAGUCGGGGGAUGACGGUACCGGAAGAAUAAGCACCGGCUAACUACGUGCCAGCAGCCGCGGUAAUACGUAGGGUGCGAGCGUUAAUCGGAAUUACUGGGCGUAAAGCGUGCGCAGGCGGUUUGCUAAGACCGAUGUGAAAUCCCCGGGCUCAACCUGGGAACUGCAUUGGUGACUGGCAGGCUAGAGUAUGGCAGAGGGGGGUAGAAUUCCACGUGUAGCAGUGAAAUGCGUAGAGAUGUGGAGGAAUACCGAUGGCGAAGGCAGCCCCCUGGGCCAAUACUGACGCUCAUGCACGAAAGCGUGGGGAGCAAACAGGAUUAGAAACCCCUGUAGUCCCA
rnacentral:rRNA from 1 species